rnacentral:rRNA from 1 species
UACAGAGGUCCCGAGCGUUGUUCGGAUUCAUUGGGCGUAAAGGGUGCGUAGGCGGCGGGGCAAGUCUGAUGUGAAAUCCCGGGGCUCAACCCCGGAACUGCAUUGGAUACUGCCUUGCUAGAGUACUGGAGAGGGAACUGGAAUUUACGGUGUAGCAGUGAAAUGCGUAGAGAUCCGGAGGAAGACCGGUGGCGAAGGCGGCCUGCUGGGCAGUUACUGACACUGAGGCGCGACAGCGUGGGGAGCAAACAGG